AGUGAACGCUGGCGGUAGGCCUAACACAUGCCAGUCGAACGGCAGCACAGUAAGAGCUUGCUCUUACGGGUGGCGAGUGGCGGACGGGUGAGGAAUACAUCGGAAUCUACUUUUUCGUGGGGGAUAACGUAGGGAAACUUACGCUAAUACCGCAUACGACCUGCGGGUGAAAGCAGGGGAUCUUCGGACCUUGCGCGAUUGAGUGAGCCGAUGUCGGAUUAGCUAGUUGGCGGGGUAAAGGCCCACCAAGGCGACGAUCCGUAGCUGGUCUGAGAGGAUGAUCAGCCACACUGGAACUGAGACACGGUCCAGACUCCUACGGGAGGCAGCAGUGGGGAAUAUUGGACAAUGGGCGCAAGCCUGAUCCAGCCAUACCGCGUGGGUGAAGAAGGCCUUCGGGUUGUAAAGCCCUUUUGUUGGGAAAGAAAAGCAGCAGGUUAAUACCCCGCUGUUCUGACGGUACCCAAAGAAUAAGCAACGGCUAACUUCGUG
rnacentral:rRNA from 1 species